CACGUAGUUAGCCGGAGCUUAUUCCUCAGGUACCGUCAAAUUCCUCUUUCUUCCCUGAUAAAAGAACUUUACAUUACGAAUAACUUCUUCGUUCACGCGGCGUUGCUCGGUCAGGGUUCCCCCCCAUUGCCGAAAAUUCCCUACUGCUGCCUCCCGUAGGAGUAUGGACCGUUCUCAGUUCCAUUGUGGCCGUUCAACCUCUCAGUCCGGCUACGCAUCAUCGCCUUGGUAGGCCCUUACCCCACCAACUAGCUAAUGCGCCACAGGCCCCUCCUUAAGCAGAUCUCUCUUUUAAAUAUAAAAGAUUCUUCCUCUAUAUCCUAUCCAGUUUUAUCCAUCGUUUCCAAUGGCUAUCCUCGUCUUAAGGGUAGGUUACCUAUGUAUUACUCACCCGUUCGCCACUAAAGUACCCGAAGGUACUUCCGUUCGACUUGCAUGUAUUAGGCACGCCGCCAGCCUUAAUCCUGAGCCGAGGAUCGAAAACUCU
rnacentral:rRNA from 1 species